UCAAUGAAUCAAGCAAGUAAAGGUGGUGAGCCCUCUGAUAAGGGUAAAGAUAUCGUACCCGAGGAUCGAGAAUAGGAGUACUUAUACCACUCCAAACUCCCUUUAUUGUUGGAUAGUACUAUAUUAGUCAUGUUAUGCUGUCGAAAUUUUGUUGAUUUGGUAGGUUAUGUAUUUAGCUUACUGCAGUGGGCCGGUUUUCGUGGACUAGUCUAUUGAGGGGCACGGUAAAUCCUGUUAUAUUUAUCUUAGUACGAGAGGCGCGAAGGGUAUCUCCUAAGGCUCAGGACAGUCUGUAGACGGCCGAUUUUGUUUGGAUCUGCAUCCUUAAAAAUCGAAGGUCUACAAUCUUGCAAAUUUUCGAUUAUAUCGGGGCACACAUGUCAUUGUAGAAUAUUUUCGUAUAUUUGAUUUAGUGUGCUAUUAUAUAUGUGAAUUUAUUUUGCUCUUA